AAUGAACCCAACUAGUAUCCAUGAGAAUGCAGGUUCGAUCCCUGGCCUAGUGCAGUGGGUCAGUGAUCUGGUAUUGCCAUGAACUGUGGUGUAGUUCUCAGACACGGCUCGGAUCCUGUGAGGCUGUGGCUGUGCCUGUGGCUGGCAGCUGCAACUCCUAUUUCACCCCUAGCAUGGGAACUUCCAUAUGCCACAGGUGCAGCCCUGAAAAAGCAAAAAAAGAAAAAAAAAAAAGAAUAUUCGUAUCUUCUACUAUUUGCCAACCAUCCAAAUAUCCAACCAUGAGGGCAUUUAAAUGGCUUCAGCUGAUGUCGGUGUGGGGCAGGGUCUGUUUGUUAGCAGAGGUACCUGGCCAGCCACCAGCCACCAGACCUCAGGGCCAUCUUCCUGCUCAGUUUCUCUCUGGGAAACCAAUGAUCAGAACAUUCUUUCCCCACCAGCCCUGACACAGCCUCCAAUUCCUCCAUAAUCUAUAGCACACCAGGAAGCCAGCUCAGUCCCAGCAAGAGGAAUCUUAGUUGACAAUCCCGUGGGGUUGUCAUGGAGGCCCUUCUUUGUGAACAAUAUGGGGUAGUUUAAGGGUCUGUGCUCUGCAGCCAGACCUCCUGGACUUGAAUCCACACUGCCACUCUGCACUCUGAUCCUUGUCAGCUGUGUGACCUUGAGCUAAGAUUCCUUCACCCCUCAAGGCCCCAUGUUCUACCACUAUAACGUGAGGAUGAUGAUGAGAUAACUUGGGGAUUUUCAAGGAGUGGAUGUAGGUGUUAUACUAUAUAGAGCUGUAUCUGCUGUAUUAAUAAGCACGCCCUAAGUUUGGCUCUAACCUGUCAUUCCCCAAACAUAUGCUGAGAGCCUGCUAUAUGCCAAGUGUUGUUCUAGAUGCUAUAUAGGGACACAGUUGAAAAGAUGCACUUCCAUCCCCUAUAUUCUCAGCCAACCAGGAAUGAGAAACAAGGACGCAAAUCAAUGCAGUAGAGUUUGACGAUGAAAAUGCACAUUUGUGUGAGAUUACGUGAACGCGCAGAGCAUCUGCGCAGGGUCGUUAAGGAGGGCACGAAGGGCUUCAUGGAGGAGACCACAUCAGAGCCAGCUCUUACAGGUGGAGCGGGAGUGUGGCAGAUGCAUCAGCAAAGAUGCAGAGCUAGAGCCCAGCAUGGCCUGUGUGGGGCACUGUAACAUGCGUGGCGGUGACAAAGCAGGAACAGGGGAGGUGGGACACUCAGGCAAGGGCCCUGGAUGCAGCUCCUAGGAGCUCAGACAGUUCAUCCGAGUGUUGAGGGCUCCCUAACAGUUGUGAGAUUCAGCAAAAGAGGAGAGAAAUUGAGAUGGAGGCUUUUUGUUGCACUUUGAGCUACUAGGUUUAUCUUUAAGAGAAAAUGAAAAAAAUCUGAAUAUUUGAAUAUUCAGAAAUGAAUAAAUCUGAUCUACCCUAAAAACUAAACUUUCGGGAGAUCGGUGUUAGACCUGAGUUUCAGUACAUUAAAAUAGACUAUUGGUUUGCGAGCUAAUUCUAUUUAGAUAUGUGGAAUAUUUUUUUAACUUGCAGAUUCUUCCGACCCAAGUUCUCCAUCCAAGGGAAAUUCAUUUAGCCUGAAGGUUCUGUACCAAUUACCUAGUUUUAUAAGGUCAAAAUAAAAGUUGAGAGUCAUUUUAUCUUCAUCUAUCUGGGUAGAAAUUACAGAAUCAAGCUGCUUUAAUGAGAAAAAGCACCAGGAAGGGAAAAGUGAAAAUAGAAGUGUCAGCACCAUGAGAGAUUUCUGCUGCCUCCGGAUUCUGAGAGAUGAGGCCAGGGAUGCGCUGUGAAGUCUUUUGACAACACAGUCUCUAUCCAUGAACAAGUUGCCAGGGCUUCAAGAGGCAGAGACAUGAAACACAACAUCCUUCCACCCUUAUUAAGAUUUAAUCCCGCUUUCAAUAGGAUUGCCAUGUUAUUAAAUUAGAUUUUUUUUCCCUUCCUUAAAAAGGGAUUUAACUUUUGCUUUCCUGACAUCAUAAUCAACACGGAACAGAUGCAAAGGGGAAAUUGUGUGACCACUGGUAAUACAGACCUAUACUUAACAUGUAGCAUGUGAAGUUAUUAAAAUGGAAAUUAAUUCUCUUUAUUGCUAUCGUACCCUAUCAAUUAAUUCGGUUGGAGGUGUUUAUGAAUAUGCAAUCAUCCCUCCCUAUUGCCUGCCCCUUAUUCUAUGUGCAGAAAGCCUUGGUAAGGCAAUAUGUAAAAUUUUCAAUUCUUUGGCUAAUUUCCUGGCACUUUUUGCUCCCCAAUAAUAUCGAUAACGGGAUAACUAAAAGUUACUCAGGAUUUUUCUACAUGCCAGUCACUGUUCCAAGCACUUUACGUUCAUUGCCUUAUUCAGUCCUUACACAGUAAUUUGGGAGGUGGGUAAUUUUAUUAUCUCUUUACGAGGAAGAGGAAGGUGAGGCCCAGAGAGGUGGACCUUCCCCAGGUCACCAAGGCAUUCUGACUCCAAAAUCCACACCCUUCUCUGCUGUGCUGCACUGUCUUUUAUAGGUUACAGAGAAGGGACUGAAACAAGGUCAUAAAUCUCUAGACAUCAAGCUCUUGUAGGCUGGAGGGGACCUGGGAGGGGAUAGAGAGCCCUGGAUUGGGGGCACUUGUUUUAAAAUAUAGAUUAUUUUAUUAUGGAUUUAAUAAUAUGGGUUUAUUAUUAUUUAAGUAUGGCAGAGCCAUGAGCCAAGGAGAAAAUUGCCAUUGUAGUUUAUACCAAUAAGAGGGGACAUGCCAUACCAGGGAGUCUGUACCGACAGGAAACUCCAUACUUGGUCAGGAGGCAGAGGGAGAGGUGGGAAAACUUGGGUAAAAGCCUUUUUUGUGGUUUCCUGGGGGAAGAACAAGAGGCAAGGUGAACAGUUUUAAGACUGGUGGGUUGAGUGAUUUGAGUGCGUUCUGGGGCAUAGGGGCCUGGAACCUAGCCUAGGAAUGAUUAGGGCAGAUUAUCCUGGCCCAGGAUGUUCGAGGUUGGGGUACAGGAUCUGAACUGGCUGGUUUGCAUUUGAAAAGUGUGCUAUGGACCAACUGUUUACUAUCUCUGGGGCUAGAUAACCCUGGGAGGGACAGUCCCUGCAAUACCAAGACCCCAGAUGUCAAAGCAUCAAAAAUGCAGAAAACAAGACACGGUUAAUAGAGGGAGCGCCCAGUAGGGGGUGCUGUGGGAGGACCUCAGAAGAUCCACAGGCAGGAAGGAGGAGGGCAGGGAGGGCCCGGUAGCCUAGUCUAGUAAGCAAGGCCUGAAUGUACAGUGGUCCUCAUGAUGCCUGGGAGGGGGCAGGGAAUUAUGGAUUCUGCAUUAAGCUUCAGAGUAUCUUUCAGUCUUCUGAUAUAAUCCAUAAUACAGCUUUAACUUAAUAUGCAUAUUAAACAUUGAGGUGGGGGAGAUGAUGACUCAUCUUUUCAGCUGGACAUUUUCUCCGUGGUAGCAGAGACCCCAUUUUGAUCAUCCUUGAACACCCUGCAGAUUCGGAUGGGAGACGUGCUGUCCCAGAACGGGAGGACCCUGCUUCUUAUCCUGUCUGUAAGUCCUGGGUCUCCUCCUCAUGCACCAUUUUCAAAGUGUGGUUUUGGUAACAGGGAAACUGUUAACCCAACCGAGAGGAAAUCCAGGUGAGGGAUCACGGUCGUGGAUGAGUGCUCGGUUGGUAACCCCUGAUUCACACUUGCUUCUUUGUUUUGGAAAACCAAAGAAAAAUGAUGUAAGAUAAACCAAGAUGGCACUACGGGGGACCCGACUACAGGUUUGCUGUGCAGAUACUUGGACAAUGAGAUGAUCUGUACAUCGCUUGUAUAGACUUUAAUUUUUUAAAUUUUUAUACAGUUUUUAGAGGUCACUUUCCAUUCACAGUUAUCACAGAAUAUUCGCUCUAUGCCCCAUGUUGUAUAAUGUAUCCUUGAACCUGUCUUAUACCCAGAAGUUUGGCCUCCCACCCUCUGCCUCUCCACUGGUAACCACUGCUUUGUUUUCUCUAUCCAUGAGGCUGCUUCUUUUUUGUUAUAUUCACUAUUUUGUUGUAUUUUUUUUUUUUUUUUAGAUUCCACAUAUAAGUGAUAUCAUACAGUAUUUGUCUUUUCCUAUCUUAUUUCACUUGGCAUUAUGCCCUCCAAGGCCAUCCAUGUUGCUUCAGUUGGCAAAAUUUCAUUCUUUUUAUGGCUGAUUAACUUUCCUGUGUGUGUGUGUAUAAAACAUAUAUAUUUGUUUUACACACACACACACACACACACACACACACACAUCAGCUGGGCAGCCCCACUCUAUAGAGUAAUUCCCACCUUAUUAACCCAUGGUUUCAAAGAUAACCUAGGUUAGACUUCCUGGAAGCAGACCCUGAAACCAAGAUUUCAUAUGGAAGUCAUUUACUAGGUAGUUUUCUUGGGGGCGGGGGGUGGGGACUGGAAUAGAGGAGUUCAGCUAGUGGCUCAGCAGUAAAGAACCUGACUAGUAUCCAUGAGGAUGUGGGUUUAAUCCCUGACCUCAUUCAGUGGGUUAAGGAUCUGGCAUUGCCAUGAGCUGUGGUGUAGGUGGCAGACAAGGCUUGGAGCCCACAUUGCUGUGGCUGUGGCAUAGGCCAGCAGCUGCGCUCUGAUUCAACCCCAUAGCCUAGGAACUUCCAUGUGGCACAUGUGCAGCCCUAAAAAGACAAGAAAGUAAGUAAGUAAGUAAAUAAGAAAGAAAGGAAGGAAGGAAGGAAGAAGGAAGAAAAGGAAGGAAGG
rnacentral:lncRNA from 1 species